CCGCGCACUUCCCUUUCCUCCUUUCAUCUUUCCGUUGCUGCUCCUUCCUAGAUCACCACAACCACAGCACCGCCGCCUCAACUCUUUUUCUCUUCCUCUUCCCUCCAUCGUCACCACAGCCCCGGUCCGCUGCCUCCUCCUUCUUUCGCCAGCCACCGCCGCACGAACCUCCCGAGUUGGGGCGGGCACAGAAGGCCGUGGCGAGUCUGGGACCGCAUCCAUCCUCCGUCCCUCGUCGGCCGCCGCUACUGCUUAUCCUCUCUCCUGUCCUGGCCUCGUCUCCCAUGACUGGUGGUGGAAAGCCAUGAGUGGUGGAGAGGAGGAAGGGAGGUAGGGGAACAACGGGGAAGGGGAUGGACGGGGGAUUCACUCCCAGAUUUUGUGCCCCGAGCCAUGGAUGGCCGAGAGAAGGAAGUGGCCUACGCUCUUUUCUCAGGUUUUUUGCAAUGAUGCUUUUCCGAUGGAUGGGUAUAGCUGGUUGAGGUUAAUUUUGUUGCCGUCUUUCCUUCGUACGUCAUCGGAGCAUUCUCCCUUUCGCAUUGAAGGAAAGACGUUGUGGAUGAUGAUAUUAUGAAUACAACUCCUGUCAACAUUGAAGAGGUGUCAGAUAGGCAAGUCUACAGGCAUGUGGUUAGAGAAGCACCUCGAAAAGAUCAGGACGUAUUCCUAGAUUGGCAAUUAUGACAGGAUGGUACGUUUGACAGUGGGAUGCAUCAAAGUUAUAAUAUUCAUGUAAUUACUAUGUAUUUCCACCCUUUUUGUUUCUAGCUGAUACAUAGCUUUUGGUACAUGCAUCAAUCCAGCUUCUUUGUCCGAUGCUCUAAAGAUAUGUGUGCAGUGUGCUUGCUUAGUUAUGUUUCUCUAAAUACAUUCUUUUUUGUACCAAUAUCAUGUUAACUGAAAACUCGCAGUAUAUAUUCCAAUGAUUUUUUGGUGGAAUUUCCACUAAGGUUUAUUAUCUCCAGAUCAGAUGUGAUUUGGUUAAUAUGAAAAUAGCUAUAUUAUUGAAAGGCCUUAAAUGAGUUGAUGUUGUGGGAAACCUGUAUUGUAGUGGCUAGUUCUAUCUAAGAGUAUGCCCAUCUAAUAACAACCGGAAGGGAAGUGCAAAAAAUCUAGCAUUUCUAUAACGCUAACUUCAUUACUUGGAUUAAACCCAAAUAUUGUUUGUGCUAAUUAUGCAACUUUGUCUUUGAGUUUUUCAUUUUUUGUCCCACAUAAUAUAUUACCCUUUUUUAAUCUGUGCCCGCAUGGUCUCACUAUUGAUUUUCUUAAAGUAUAUUACCCUCUUGUUUUUGAAAUAAUAGAUUAAUGUUCUAUACCGGAGGUCCUAACAAAUCCCUAUAGGUUAUUCGUAGUACCGAUUUUGAUGCUUCUUGACCGGUGUUUCAGAAGCCAUCGAUUUUUUUAUAUUUGCACAUGCUUCCUACAUCUUCGCUAUUUUCUCUCUUUAGUGUCACUUUGAUGUUCCUUUGUCACUAUUCAUAGUUCCGCCUGGGGUGGCCUCUAUCUUGCUUUAAAACUCCAUAUGGCUACCUAUGUAUAGGUUCUGUUUGAACUGUACUCAAAUCACAUAGAGCUGUUAAACUUCCAAUUUGUUCCCUUGCCAUCGUGUGCCAUCGCCAUGUUUACUCCAGAAAAGUGGAAUGUUUAAAGCUUCCGUGUGAAGUAGUCAAAUACUUGCUUUGCCUUAAAGACUGUCCCCAUCUAUGUUUUGGGUUUUUUGGGUAUGAAUUUUAUAUUUACCUGGAAUGGAUCAACCCAUUUGGGAUUUUAGAAAAAUAUAUGUGAGUGCAUCUUUCUAAUAAAAGCAUUGCUUAUCAGAGCUUCUAUGGUCCAUGGAACUUAGAAAUGAUAGUGUUAUCUGUAAUUAUAAGAAAUACCUUUCUAAUAGUAAGAAAUACCCUCUUCUGGACUCAAAAUUGUUGUUGGUCUUCUGAUCACUUUCAUUGUCUAUCAGCUAGGCUAUGACUACCAUAAGCUAGCAUCAUUGGGGUCAAGUCAUUAUGUUUAGUUUAUCUUCAGUGCCUUGCAGGUUAAUGGUUCACGUAAGAUUGUAGCCUACCUUCUUCGUGUUGACUUCCAUAUUUUCCUUCAUGUCUACUAUAUUUAUAUAUGCACAAAGUGCUUAUUUCUUUGGUGCAU